GGGUGCGGUGGCGCCUGUCUGUAGUCCCAUCUACUCAGGAGGCUGAGGCUGGAGGAUCUCGCUUGAGCCCAGGAGUUCUGGGCUGCAGUGUGCUAUGCCGAUCGGGUGCUCACACUAAGUUCGGCAUUAAUAUGGUGACCUCUCGGGAGCCGGGGACCACCAGGUUGCCUAAGGAGGGGUGAACUGGCCCAGGUCGGAAAUGGAGCAGGUCAAAACUUCUGUGCUGAUCAGUAGUGGGAUCGUGCCUGUGAAUAGCCACUGCACUCCAGCCUGGGCAACAUAGCAAGAUCCUGUCUCUA
ensembl:misc_RNA Metazoa_SRP Metazoan signal recognition particle RNA